rnacentral:rRNA from 1 species
GAUGAACGCUGGCGGCGUGCCUAAUACAUGCAAGUCGAGCGAGCGGACGAGAAGCUUGCUUCUCUGAUGUUAGCGGCGGACGGGUGAGUAACACGUGGAUAACCUACCUAUAAGACUGGGAUAACUUCGGGAAACCGGAGCUAAUACCGGAUGAUAUUUUGAACCGCAUGGUUCAAAAGUGAAAGACGGUCUUGCUGUCACUUAUAGAUGGAUCCGCGCUGCAUUAGCUAGUUGGUAAGGUAACGGCUUACCAAGGCAACGAUGCAUAGCCGACCUGAGAGGGUGGUCGGCCACACUGGAACUGAGACACGGUCCAGACUCCUACGGGAGGCAGCAGUAGGGAAUCUUCCGCAAUGGGCGAAAGCCUGACGGAGCAACGCCGCGUGAGUGAUGAAGGUCUUCGGAUCGUAAAACUCUGUUAUUAGGGAAGAACAUAUGUGUAAGUAACUGUGCACAUCUUGACGGUACCUAAUCAGAAAGCCACGGCUAACUACGUG